AGGCCCCGCCCCGCCCCCUCUGUGCGCGCUCCGCUCGGCAGCCUGUGGGACGCGACCGCGGCGCUAGUCUCGUUCCUUUGUGCUGCGGCGGCGGCUUCUCGAGUCCUACCCGACGCGUCCUCUAGGCCAGCGAGCCCCGCGCUCUCCGGUGACGGACCAUGUCGGCGGCGGGAGCGGGCGCGGGCGUAGAGGCGGGCUUCUCCAGCGAGGAGCUGCUCUCGCUCCGUUUCCCGCUGCACCGCGCCUGCCGCGACGGCGACCUGGCCACGCUCUGCUCGCUGCUGCAGCAGACACCCCACGCCCACCUGGCCUCUGAGGACUCCUUCUAUGGCUGGACGCCCGUGCACUGGGCCGCGCAUUUCGGCAAGUUGGAGUGCUUAGUGCAGUUGGUGAGAGCGGGAGCCACACUCAACGUCUCCACCACGCGGUACGCGCAGACGCCAGCCCACAUUGCAGCCUUUGGGGGACAUCCUCAGUGCCUGGUCUGGCUGAUUCAAGCAGGAGCCAACAUUAACAAACCGGAUUGUGAGGGUGAAACUCCCAUUCACAAGGCAGCUCGCUCUGGGAGCCUAGAAUGCAUCAGUGCCCUUGUGGCGAAUGGGGCUCACGUCGAGUUUAUUUCACAGAGCAGUGUACAUUCUUGUCUUCCAGGGGAACUUCAACAUGGAGUUACUUUUGAUCCCUCAGUUUUAAUUCAGUGUCUAAAGCCUGAGAAAUGCCAGUGGCCUGACAGCAGCAGACAUUGCACAAACCCAGGGUUUCCAAGAGUGUGCCCAGUUUCUCUUGAACCUCCAGAAUUGUCAUCUGAACCAUUUCUAUAACAAUGGCAUCUUAAAUGGGGGUCAUCAGAAUGUAUUUCCUAAUCAUAUUAGUGUGGGAACAAAUCGAAAGAGAUGCUUGGAAGACUCAGAAGCCUUUGGAGUAAAGAAAGCUAGAACUGAAGCUCAAAGCUUGGAUUCUGCCGUGCCACUCACGAAUGGCGACACAGAAGACGAUGCUGACAAAAUGCACGUUGAUAGGGAGUUUGCUGUUGUAACAGGUGGGAGUGGACAGUUUCCUGUUAGCUGCAACAACAAUCCAAUGGUUGAAGACACCAAACAGCAGGAGAGUGGUUCUGUUGGACCAAAAGAAAUAGAAAUAUAUACUGUGUCAGCAAUGCAGACCCCCUGUCGUUGCAGGAAUCAGUAUGCAUAUUAUUUCUAACAUAAGUUUUUCUCAGAUGUUUUGCACUUUGUUGUCCAGUGUCUUUUUAAAAAUGUUAUACUAUAAUUUGCAUAUCUUGGGCAAGUUUGUAGAUACAAGAAGUGUUUUGGGUAUAUUCUAUGGACAUGAAAAAUGUAAGUGCAAUCUUUAUUCUGAUUUGAAGCUGUUGCUUAAUGUGCCUUGCUUAUUUUUAAUGAGGUUUGCAUUUUUAAUUUUCUGACAUAUGGCCUUUGGGUGAAUAUACCGAACAUGCUACAGUUAAUAUUUUCAAACCAAUAUACCACAAAGAGGACGACUAGCAGUAAACACUGAGAAACUAGUAAAUGUGGUUCUGACUCAGCCCGGUCACUCCAGCAUGGAAUCUUUUACCCAGGACUUGGUUGCUCUGGUUUCUGUGGUCUUCAUUCUGAGUCUGUUAAAAUGAUAUGAAAAACAGUAGCUCCGUAUCGAAUACAUUGACAAAUGGAUGUGUCAUCAAUGGACAUUUGGACUUCCCCUCCACGACCCCGCUCAGUGGGAUGGAAAGCAGGAAUGGCCAGUGCUUGACAGGAACUAACGGAAUUAGCAGUGGAUUAGCCCCAGGACAGCCGUUUCCAAGUAGCCAGGGUUCUCUCUGCAUUAGUGGGACUGAGGAGCCAGAGAAGACCCUGAGAGCUAACCCUGAGUUGUGCGGUUCUCUGCACCUGAACGGGAGUCCAAGUAGCUGCAUAGCCAGUAGGCCUUCCUGGGUGGAAGACAUUGGGGAUAACCUGUACUAUGGACACUACCACGGGUUUGGGGACACUGCUGAAAGCAUCCCAGAACUGAACAGUGUGGUCGAGCAUUCCAAGUCCGUGAAGGUGCAGGAGCGGUACGACAGUGCCGUGCUGGGCACCAUGCACCUGCACCACGGCUCCUAGAGACGCUGACCUGGCUCUCGGAAACGCAGGAGUCCUUCCUGGUAGCCAGCUCAGAAUACCCAUGUAGCAGCAACUUGAACGAAUGUCACAACUUGUACUUUUUUUUUAUACUUCAACUUUCUGAAAAAGUAAACUUCGACAAGUUCCCAGCAACUGCUUGUUUGUGCAUGAGUAGGGCUUACUAAGUGCAUAGAUGUUUCUACAGUGAGGUGUCCUUUUUAUAAGGUGCACUUUUGGAGUUUUUCUGAUGCCAAUCUCAACAUUGUCUUUUUAAUACUGUCACCAGAUAUUGCCAUUUUUGUUUUUGUUAAAAGAUUAUAUGAUCAAGAUAAAUUGGGGUGGUAAAUGAGGUGCCUGGUAAUUUAUCUCUUUGCACAUGGGCAUCAUUUUAAAAAGCUUGCUUCCACUGUUUUCUGUAGAAUUUGACGGAACACAGCUAUUUCCCUAUGCAAGGUACAGCCUUACAAAGAUUUCUGCAGGGAUUUGUGUGAAGAAGAGAACGUUUGUCUUUUUCAAUGAAGCUUUGCAGAUCACCAUGUGGUUGAAGGUUUUAGUUGUAGACACAGUGGUCCCUCCUUAAUGACGAAGAUCACCGCCUUGGGCUUCAUGGAAAACAGGCCCAGCCUGGGGCUGCGUUCGGAUUUAUUGUUUUUAUUCCACAUUUCCUACUUGGUCUCUGGAAAUUCUACCACAUGUAACAGAUUCCUUUAUAUGUAGUGGAAGUUACUAUUUGUAGGAACUGUCAGGUCAACAUAUUUAACUGACUGUUGACAUGUAUUUUCUUUUUUCCUUGUUUUUUGUUUUUUGGGGUUUUCUGCUUUAAGAUAUAUACCACUAUGUAUAUCCAGUUAACUGAGAGAAUUUUGACUCUCUUAAUAAAACUGCAUUAAGUUUUUGAUUUUGUAGAAAUUAGCUUUUGUCUAGGCAACUAGUGGUUAUACUCUGCAAAUAUUGUAAUGAAUUUUUACUUUUUUGAUUUUUGUAAUAAAAAUUGGUGCAGAUAAAAUGUCAAAUGAACAAACCAGUGUUCUAAGAGUGUUACUAACAUUUUGUUCUAAAACUGUCCUUCACAAAUUGAAUAAAAAACUCUCACACUCA